UACGAGUGCCUCAAGCGUUAUCCGGAAUCAUUGGGCGUAAAGGAUGUGUAGGUGGUCUUGUUAGUCUCUUGUUAAAUUCUUCGGCUCAACCGGGGGCAUGCAAGGGAAACGGCAAGACUAGAGGAUGCAAGAGGUUACUGGAACUCUAGGUGUAGCGGUGAAAUGCGUUGAUAUCUAGGGGAACACCAAAAGCGAAGGCAAGUAACUGGGGCAUUCCUGACACUGAGACAUGAAAGCGUGGGUCGCGAAAGGG
rnacentral:rRNA from 1 species